ensembl:lncRNA
CGAGCUCCUGGGAGAGUAUGGUUGCCAAUGAUCCUGCUUGGUUAUGGAGCCUGAAUGCUAAUGCCAUUGGCGUACCAUGCAGGUGUAUGGCUGCUAUGGGUGAAAACAGAUACUUUACAGUUGAAUUUAAGGUCCACACAGCAGAAGGACACCUAUGUUUGAUGUUGAAAACAAGGAUAAAACUUUGUGGCUGGGUGCUCAUAAGGUCUCGUGGGGAAGUCACCAUUGUUCUGUUAAAUAGCUAUGUUGUGCCUGUCAAAUUGUCUUUUAAACACUCAUAUUGGUGCCAUGGAUUGUUUUUGCUGUUGACCCGAGUGGAAGGGAAUGUCUCUUUACAACGAGUGGAAGUCAUUGUAAGACUCACAGGCAGUAAAGCGCUAAGAGGUGAUGGUGGCGUCUUGGCUUAAAAGGGGUGGAGUGCUGUGUGGUUUUUCUUUCCAGAUUGGAUGUGGUCGCCGAGUCAAACCAGCCAUGAUCACUCCUGCAAGACCCUCACACAAUGGGGAACCAUUAAUGUCCUUCAUGGAAGGAGCAGGACUAUCGAAGCUUAAGAAACCCACCCCCUCUCUGAAGACUUAUACCAGCAAACGAUUCAAGGGAGGAGGGGGUUUUUGGUGGUGUAGCUGUGAAGCUGCCCUUGUGCCUAUCAGUGAUGGUCACCGUAUAUAUAUCAGCAGCCAUAAUAAUUGGUUCACCAAACAGGACUUGCAUGGAAACAUGUCUGUUGUUGUCCUUUCUCUGGGGAAAAUGAAGAAAACUGACCCGGAGAAAGAUGUUCAGUCUGCCCAGCUGUGAAUGAUCCAGUUUUCUUGAGGUGUCGCUGCCUCACCCCAGACCCUCCUGAUCUUGAGCAUCAGCUUGACUGAAUUUAGAAUCACCCGGAACAUAGGCUUCUGUGCGUGUCUACCAGGCUGUUUCCAGGAAAGACUGACCUGAGAGUGAAGAAGGCCCACUUUCAGUAUGGGUGGCAGGCAGCACCUUGCAAUGGAGAGCCCAGAUAAGAGAGGAAAUGCAGCAUGAUUGGGCCUGCCUUCCCAUCUUUGUGAGAGCACUGAGUGUGUCCGUGGCUGAAAAACACGUGGCUGUGUUCGUGUGUCCACUGAAACCAGACUGCAGCAUCUUCAGCCUUCAUUGCAGACUCAAUGCCAAUGACUCUCAAGGGACUUUCUGGGCUUUCAGCAGCGUGUCAGGACUGCUGAGCCCUCUAGCUUCACAGACCACUGAACCUAGUAGGCAUCCGGUACUGGGCUUUCUGCCUUUCUGGUAUUGAUAGACUCUGAAGAGUGAUGGGUUUGGUCUGGAUGUAGUUUUCCCCUCAAGGCUCCAUGUGUUGGAAUCCUGGUCUGGAGUAUGAGAUUAUUGGGAAGUUAUUUGGCAUUUUUAUGAGGUUGUGCUUAGUGGAUAGUGGGCCACUGAAUACUGCUUUCUGAAGGGAUUAAUACAGCUCGUGUGGAUCGUGAUUGGUUUUUGCAAGAUGGUCAUUAUAUAGCGAUGGAUAUGGUCCCUCCCUCCCUUCUCUCUGGCUUCCUGCCUGGUAUCUUUCUGUUUUGCGUACCCUAGCCAUGCUGCCAUCUCCAGAAAUAUAAUGCCGCCAGAGGGCUCCAUGAGAGCCAGUGAGCACCUGCUGUUAGGACUGAUAGCCCUUGAGACUGUGAGCUAAGUAAACCUGUUUUCUUUAUGUAGUACUUAGCUUUGGGCAUUUUGCCUUCAUAAUGGAAAAAUGAACAUAUGCAGUGAUCAUUUCACCACGUGACUAUAGCAAGCCUCCUGCUUAGCUCUGCAAUGUCAGGAACUCAUAAAUUCUGCAUUUCCCACGAUCUCAGUCUGCUGUCCAGACUUUAUUAUACCUCCGUUUGUUUCUCAUGGGGGCGGGAGUGCUCACUCCUUUUAGCAGCAGUACUUCCCACUGAAACCUGGGCGCCAUGCUCCAUGAGGCUUGGUCCUGGGACCCUCACUGGGUCAAUGAGGGAAUGAAGAAAGGACAGACACACAGACACACCUACAGGGAAGCUGGGGUGAGGCGAUCUGUGCAAGCCAUGACCACUACAGCUGCAACCGGGUAUUUACCAUGCACAGCAGGGGGAGGGCCAGCUGGGCUGGUGUAGGUGGAAGGUCCCUGUGGGCAAGCUGUCUCAGGCUGUGAACAUCAGGGAGGAGGAAGCGCAGUAGGCGUUUGUUCGUACUGAUCAGUCAUCCACAAAUGGACGAAGGGAGAAGGCUUUCCCAGUUCUAAGCUUGGCCCACACAAGGGAAGGCUGUGCGGGUUUCCCAUGGGUCUGAGACCUUGCUUCUUGUCAUGGCUUGUUCUCACGUCAACAAUGCACAUUCACUCGGGACCCCACUCACCAAGGGCUUCCUUGGCUCCCUAUACCUGGGCUGACUUGUGACUCCGGCCUGUGCAUUGCCCAGUCUGUCCUUCACAAACAUGAGGCACGCUUCGUAAAACAAGGCGGUGGCAUGCCCUUGUCUGUGACCUCUAGUGUUUACAAACCUGACUGGCUCUUAGUAGGUACUUAAUUGUCACCCCCCAAUUGAAUGAAUUAUUCAGUACUUGACUUACAAAAAUCAUAUAUCACAGAAACAGUCUAUACUAAGAUUUUAGCUGUUCUUCCAAUUUUUGAAACCCAUACCAUAAAUUAAUGCAUUGGCAGCCGAGUUUAUAAAAGCUGCUAUGUAUUCUGAUUAAUUGACUUGUGUUACCUGAUUAAUUUUCUUACUAAAGGGUCAGUCAGAAGCAGGAAGUGGAGUGGAUUCUGUGGUAAGGAUCAGCAUUGGAAGCUUGCCCUCUGAUAGAUAGAAAGGCAAUUCAACAAACCACCAUGGUUAUUGGGUACAUUACUUCAUCUUUUAUGACAGGUCAGAGGCUUUUUCCCCUUUAAACUGAAGGACGUGAAGGACAUCGUAUUUCAUCCCAGCAAGCAGUUAUGCUAAUACUAGGAAAGUGAGUAACUCCAACAUGUUAGCUGAAAUCUUAGCGUCAGCUGUCAGUGUGAUCAAAUUCGAGAUACCCAAGUGGGUGUCUUUUGUCUUCUUGGUCCUCUUUUGUCGAUUGUGUCACUGGGGUCAAGGAAGCCAUGAAUGGCUCUAGCUAAACUCCACAGACAGGCAGGGAGGUGUGUUAGGUGCGAGUCAGCGGAUGCCGAUGGAGGGACCAACAGAUUAGUGAUGCAUCCUGAGAGAUACUUGGUUUGACUGCAACACAGAUGUAGCCGAGCAUGGAGAAUGUUGGUCAACUUGUUCCCCCUGUCCAACCACGAGGGUUCCUAUGCUCUCUUUCCUGUGCCAUUCAGUCAACUCUGGAACGCUAUGAAUAGUUUAAAAUUUUUUUUACAGACUCAGGAACAGCUAGUUAACUCUUGGCAGUUUGGCAUGUGGCUGGGGAACUAGGGAGUAGGACGUGAAUUGGGUCCAUGAUUUAAGAUGCAGGGCAACAUGGUGACUCUCUGGCUUAAUCUCCAAAGGGAAGACAAGCUCCCCAAGGUCUCUCUGCCCUCCUGCUCCCCUCCUCAGUGCUCCCGUGGCUCACUCAGAUUUGUGCCCCAGGGGUGCAGAGGAGACCCCACUCCUUGCCCACAUUAGCAAGAGCUUGCAUGUGGUUCCUUGGCUGUGCAGGCUGAGACAGCCGCUCUCCUUUUGGAGACAGGCUUUACAGUGCCAACCAUACUGUCCGUUUAAGCUCACAGAGGGUGAAUAGAGUGUGAAACUUUUCACCCUUGAGCCUUGCCUGGCUCUUUAUGGAAACAGGACUCUCAGUCUCACACCCCAAUGCCCAAUUAGGGUGGCACUAUGGGAAGACCUUAUUUUACCGAUGGGAACAUUGACUCCCUGAGGGCUUGAAUUGCAUGCCCAAAGUUGGUGUGGGGUGUGGAGUCUGAGUCUCCUAACAUUAUAGAAGUUCUGUCAUGUGCCUGGUGGCACAGCCCUGCCUGUUGAAGCCCUUCCCUUCAUGCUAAGUGGACAGGGGCAAUGCCUUUAAUGAUUAGAGUCUGACUUAGUUACGUCCUUCAAGUAUUUGCUUCUGAACCUUUGCCUAGAAAUUGCCGUCCCAGCUCUCACGCAUCCCACAGGGCGGGCGCUCCUUCACCUUCCUGCCCACGUCUCUCACUCCUAAGAGGUCUUCUGGCCAUCCACAGAACACCUUCCCAGCAGCCAUCUGGUGCUCUUCAAAACACAGCUUGUAAAUCCUUUCCUAUGCUGGAGUUCACUUUCCCAGGCAAACACACUUUUCUUCCCUUUCUCAAGGACAGGGCUCGUUAGGGGUGAUCUGAGCUCUCAUACAAAUCACACUAUUUUUAGGACUGCUUCAACAAUAUCAGUCCGCUGUGGGGCCAGUACUUAUGUAAAGGGUUUCUCCUUCAAACCCCUACACUAGCAGUUCCCAUAAACAUGUAUUUCUUAAACUAUACCACUAUGGAAUGUCUCGUGUGUGUGUGCACACUUGUGUGCAUAUGUAUACAUGUGUGUAUGCCUCUGCAUAAGUGUGUGUGUGUGCGCGCGCGC